UGAGCAAUCUGCCCUUCUCAUCGGAAUAAGCGUUGGAAACGACGUCUAAUGCCGAAUACGACCUCCUUUCGCAUGAUCGGAGGUGGAAAGCUCCGGCGGAGAAGGAUGAGCUCGCGGCCUAUCAGCUAGUUGGUGUGGGUAAUGGCCCACCAAGGCGACGACGGGUAGCCGGCCUGAGAGGGUGACCGGCCACACUGGGACUGAGACACGGCCCAGACACCUACGGGAGCAG
rnacentral:rRNA from 1 species